CCAUGCCAUCGUAGGAAUAAGGUGGCGCGGGCCGCGGCGAGGGCGAGCGCGGUCGAUGAGCCCAACGUAGAGGGCAGCACGGAGCUGCUGCGAGGUGUGGGGAGACGCUCCCUCGACCCCGCGUCCGCUACACCUCCCCGUUUGCUUGCGCAUACUGUAUAGCCGCGCCGCGCGCUCACUAAUGCGUCAUAUCGCUAAGCAAGUUAACGUGUGUUUGUACGAUCCGCGAAGACAGUUCGCGCGCGCCAUGUGAACUUGUGUUGACUUAUGUAUAAUUGUAAAAACGUAAUUCGUGGUCUCGAAAUGCUUUUCUCAUUUUUGAUUUUUAAAAUAUGGACAGUGAAUUUGUUGCAUAUGCGCAAAGAGUGGUUCACGAGGUUGACGCACGUGUUCAGCUUUCGCUCCUGAAAUCGAAUGUAGCAGCCACAUGCCAGUUACUGCGAGGAACAUGGUGAAAACGGAAAUAGAGAAACUGUCAGUAACAACAAGCGCUAGCGAAUGCACGCGUAAUUUACAAUGAAGGUAAAUAAUACCGCGAAGGACAAGUGAACUAAUUAGGCGUUGUAAUUAGCCUCGGACCUGAUUGAUUAUAAAAACUAUCAACACGAUUCAUUCAUCCCGCCUCUGGUGUAACCGACUUAUGAAAAAGUUAAGAGAACAAAGAAAAUAAACAAACAUACCAGCUUCCUGUACGGCGAGAGGUGCUGCCAUUUGCCAUCAUCGUAAAGACGUCGUCUUGACCCAUCAAUGCUAGACAGAAGAUAGUUGCCAAUCAGAUCACUAAUUAUAGUAUUGAACGGGAGUGACGACCUGAUUGAAAACAAGAAGAAUUUUAUUUGAAAUAAUAAAUAA